AACGAACGCUGGCGGUAUGCUUAACACAUGCAAGUCGAACGCGAAAAGUUCUUCGGAACCAAGUAGAGUAGCGCACGGGUGAGUAACGCGUAGAUAACCUACCCUUAAGUCUGGGACAACCUUCCGAAAGGAGGGCUAAUACCGGAUAAUAUCUUGACUCUAAUGAGUUUAGAUUAAAAGAGUUUCGCUUAGGGAUGGGUCUGCGUAACAUUAGCUAGUUGGUAAGGUAACGGCUUACCAAGGCUACGAUGUUUAGCGGGUCUGAGAGGAUGAUCCGUCACACUGGAACUGAGACACGGUCCAG
rnacentral:rRNA from 1 species